AUGCUCUCACGUCAGCAGCACAUAUACUAAAAAUUGGAAAUAAAUCAAGAAGAUUAGCAUGGUGCCUGCACAGGGAUGUUACACAAAUUCAUGAAGUCUCCCAAUUUGGG
ensembl:snRNA U6 U6 spliceosomal RNA